CCUACGGGAGGCAGCAGUAGGGAAUCUUUCACAAUGGGCGAAAGCCUGAUGGAGCAACGCCGCGUGCAGGAUGAAGGCCUUCGGGUUGUAAACUGCUUUUAUAAGCGAGAAAUAUGAUGGUAACUUAUGAAUAAGGAUCGGCUAACUACGUGCCAGCAGCCGCGGUCAUACGUAGGAUCCGAGCAUUAUCCGGAGUGACUGGGUGUAAAGAGUUGCGUAGGUGGCAUAAUAAGUAGCUAGUGAAAUCUGGUGGCUCAACCAUUCAGACUAUUAGCUAAACUGUUAAGCUCGAGACCGUUAGGGGUAACUGGAAUUUCUAGUGUAGGAGUGAAAUCCGUAGAUAUUAGAAGGAAAACCAAUAGCGUAGGCAGGUUGCUGGGACGGUUCUGACACUAAGGCACGAAAGCGUAGGGAGCAAACGAGAUUAGAUACCCUUGUAGUC
rnacentral:rRNA from 1 species